rnacentral:rRNA from 1 species
AUACGGAGGGUGCAAGCGUUAAUCGGAAUUACUGGGCGUAAAGCGUGCGUAGGCGGUUUAUUAAGUCAGAUGUGAAAGCCCCGGGCUUAACCUGGGAACUGCAUUUGAUACUGGUAGACUAGAGUAUGGUAGAGGGGGGUAGAAUUCCUAGUGUAGCGGUGAAAUGCGUAGAUAUUAGGAGGAAUACCAGUGGCGAAGGCGGCCCCCUGGACCAAUGCUGACGCUGAGGUACGAAAGCGUGGGGAGCGAACAGGAUUAGAUACCCCGGUAGUCC